UUAAAUGGAUGAAAUAUGAAGUUUUAUUAAAAGAAAAAGGGGUGAAAAGAACAAAGUUUUGUCCAUCUUUGUUCAUCAUAGCUGAAAGUUAGAGAAGAGAAAGGAGAGGAGAAAGCUCUUGAGUAUUCGGUCAUUAGGAGGAGGAAAAUUGAAGGCGGUUCGUGUGUGGAUCUCGUCAGCAUAUUGUCGCAAACAGGUGAGUCUUGAUGUGGGUGACUUGGAGCCGGAGGGGAUUCAGAGUGGCCAUUGUGAACACUUUUGGGUUUGAAAAAGAGACUGGUUUUCUUAAGUUAUUGUUAAUUACUAUUUAAGUUUUGGGUUGUAAUAAGACCAUUUUAACUUUAUUUUCUUCUUUGAUUUUCGAGAUUAUAUUAUUUUAAACAACUUUAAAUUGAUGGAUAA